rnacentral:rRNA from 1 species
UACGUAGGGUCCAAGCGUUGUCCGGAUUUAUUGGGCGUAAAGAGCUCGUAGGCGGUUCGGUAAGUCGGAUGUGAAAACUCAGGGCUCAACCCGGAGACGCCAUCCGAUACUGCUGUGACUUGAGUCUGGUAGGGGAACACGGAAUACCUGGUGUAGCGGUGAAAUGCGCAGAUAUCAGGUGGAACACCGAUGGCGAAGGCAGUGUUCUGGGCCAGUACUGACGCUGAGGAGCGAAAGCGUGGGGAGCAAACAGG